rnacentral:lncRNA from 1 species
GGCCACUGUGCGUGUGUAAUAAGUAUAGUUGUAUCAAUAAUUGGCAUUGAAAUCUUUCAUGCAUAUGUUUUUUUCGAUAUUUUAUUCCGUAAAGAAGCGUUGUGUACGGUGUCUAGCUGACCACAUAAAUCCUUCUGUACGGUGCAUAGUUAAGUUGCUAUAUACCGUACAAAAAAACAAAAUUUUCAUACUCGUUUAUUACCCAAAAA